AACUUGUUAAUAUAUUUGUUAAAUUUGAUACAGUUGAAUAAGUUACAAUCAUUAUUAUAUUUUUCAAGAUUGUGUGACGAAAUAUCAUAUACGAUAUCUAUAUUAUAGUUUAUCCAUGAUUUUAUCUGAUCUUAUUACCAAAGAGGAAAUUUCCUUUCUGAUAUUAUAUAGUCAAUGAGCGUUUAAGGCGUUCUCAGUUGGUGUAGCAGUUUAUAUUCUAAAAAAUAUAUUCUACUUUUCCAUCUAUGAAAAUAUAUUUUUCAUUUAUGUCAUCUAUCAAAUGAAUAGUAAUAAUUAAUCAUACAGUAAUCUUUUUACUUAGAUAUCUACCAAAAUAAUCAAAAUUAAUCAUCGUUAGAGUACCAAUACCUGUUAAAUAUUAAUAUUUAUCAUGUCAGGUAAAUUCAAAUUUGAAUGACAGUUGAUUUCAUUAAAUAGCAACGCAUAUUGUCACUUGUUAUAUCUUUGCUGACAGAAGCAAAGUAAUUCUAUUGUUUGAACCUAUCGUUCAUUUUUAAAAUCUCAUCAAAACGGGGGCUGAACAGUCAAUUAUGUCCGUCUCCCAGAUGGAAAGAAAUUUAUUCAAUCUCAAAUUUGCUGUGAAGGAAUUAGAGAGAAAUUCCAAGAAAUGCGAAAAAGAAGAAAAGGUGGAAAAGGCAAAAAUAAAAAAAGCCAUUCAAAAAGGUAAUAUGGAGGGCGCCCGAAUUCAUGCAGAAAAUGCAAUUCGCCAACGUAAUCAGGCACUUAAUUAUUUACGGAUGAGUGCAAGAGUUGAUGCAGUAGCUAGCAGAGUACAAACUGCUUUGACUACACGCAAAGUUACUCAGUCAAUGGCUGGAGUAGUUAAAGCCAUGGAUGCAGCAAUGAAAUCAAUGAAUUUAGAAAAAAUUUCAGGUCUUAUGGAUAAGUUUGAAAGUCAGUUUGAAGAUUUGGAUGUACAAAGUUCAUACAUGGAGAAUGCUAUGUCUCAAACUACGACAACAAAUGUUCCACAAAAUGAUGUUGAUUCUUUAUUACAACAAGUUGCAGACGAAGCUGGUUUGGAGUUGAAUAUGGAAUUGCCAUCUGGACAGUUAGGUAGUAUAGGUACCUCUACUAUCAGUCAAGAACAAGAUGAACUUACACAACGGUUAGCAAGACUUCGUGAAUAGUGAUACAGAUGUAAAAUCUAGUUACAUCACAGGUACAUAAUGAGAAAGAUAUAUCUUUAUCUGCUAUAAUUUGCAUUAACUUAUUAACCUUUUGACUGCCAUAUAAGAGUUUAAUGGAAAUGAUCACCAUAUACUAUCCUUGUCUAUAAUUGCUUGCCAUAUACAGAGACUGGUUUAUUUUGUAACGGUCAGUGUACAAAGGGUUAAAAGAAAACGUAUAGAGACAUUUUCUUUAUGUACAGUCCAUGAUGUUAAACCUUUUUCUUAAAUCUUAUUCAUUUAUUUCGAGUAAAAUUAUGUAGUAAUAAUAUAAAAAACUAAAAUCUCCCACCUGAGGUUUAUCAUUAGGUUUCUCAGUUAUUUGUAUGAGACAAACAUAUAUUGUUCAGUAAAUGUACAUAUUUAUUUAAAAUUGCAGAAUUCCAUUAAACCAAUUGAAAAAUAUUAUAAUAAUUAAGUAAUUGAGAAAUAUUAUAGCUUAAAAUGAUUUCAAAAUUAUAGCAGUAUAUAAAUAUAUUUAUAGCCAAUGGGAUUAUACAGAGUGUUCCAUUUGAAGUUACGCAUGCAAUUAUUUCCCAAACUAUAGUUUGUUUUAAAAAAUGUUUCAAAUGGAACUUACCCUGUCCUGGGAAGAAGGGAGGCAUGUUACAGUGAUCACAAACCUUCUCUAAGUGGACGUGCUUCCAAGAUUUCAAGUUUUUUUUAUGCGGAACUAUAUGUUUUUAUUUAGAUAGGCAUGUAACCCGUUCCGGGAUGAAUUUAUCGAUUGUAUAAUAUAAUAUAAUAUAUUGGUGUUUGAAGGUCAUUUAUUGCCGUUCAAAACAUACUGUUGUUGAACGUCCAGAAAUUGUUUCUUAUGUAUUCAAAAGGAUGACUUUUGUAGUCAGUACAAUUAUUUACUCUAUUUCUAUAUGAUACCUGCACCUUCUCGAAAGUGACAGAACUAAUUCUUCCAAAUUCCUCACAUUCUUCCAAAAUUAGAGGCAUAUCGGCAAUCUUAUUGCGAAAUUAUUGCGAAUUUAUUGCGAGUUUAUUAUUGCGUAUAAUGAACCGUCGUAAAUUAAAUCGUUACCGGAAGAAAGUACACCUUAAUACUAUUUGCAAUAAUGAUUCAUUCGAAGCAACUAUCAUACAAACUGAGGAUAUCUGUCUAGUAGCAAAUUAUAGUUAUUAAUAAACAAAAACAAAUACGAAUAACGAUAAAUCGCAUCAUUUGUAUAAUUUUGAUUCAUGUUUACCAUCUGAAUCGACGCAAUACUUCAGUAAAUCAAAUCCUGAGAACGUUCGAAGAAAGUAAGUUUUUGAAAGGCAAUGAAUGACCUUCGAGUACCAACAUAUUAUGAGUCGAUGAAUUCGUCACGAAAUGAGCUACACACCUUCUUAAAUAAAAAAAUACAGUUCCGUAUAAAAAAAACAAAGAUCUCCUUAAAAUCUCGGAAACACGUCCACCUAGAGAAGAUUUAUGAUCACCCCUCAUCCCUUCCGAAAUAAGGUAAGUUUUAUUUGAAACAUUUUUUUAAACGAACUAUAGUAUGGAAAUUAAUUGCAAACUCCACCUGAAACACCUUAUAUAUCUUUCUUAUCUCUGUAACAAGUACCUAUAAAUAAUGAACACGUUAGAAUGUUUAACACAAAUUGCUUGAAUAAAAAGAGUUUACUUGCUAUAUAUCCAUGAACAAAAUAAGCUUUUAAUAUAAUCAAAACUCAUUUGUUAUAUUAUAAGAUUAGAUUUCUGUAGAAUAAAAAGAAAGCACUAUUAAUUGUUAUUAAUAAUUAUUAAUAAUUAUUGAUAAUAAUUAUUAAUAUAAUUAAUUUUGCACAAUAUUGUAAACAUAGCAGGUACUACUCUCUAUGAUAUGAGAAAGAAUAUACUUUUAUAUAAAGACAAUUUAUCAAAGAAAAGCUUUAUUACUGCAAUGGUAUUUAUGUUGUAAACAUACUAUAUGACAGAAUAAUUCAAGUAGAUUGAUUGUACUUUAAAAACAAUUUGUAGCAAUAAAUGCUUGUAUUAUAUGUGUAUCAUAUAUUAAAUACAUAAUAUGAUACGCAGUUUAUUA